rnacentral:rRNA from 1 species
GAACGCUGGCGGCAUGCCUUACACAUGCAAGUCGAACGGCAGCGGAGGGAGCUUGCUCCCUGACGGCGAGUGGCGGACGGGUGAGUAACACGUAGGAAUCUACCUUAAUUAUAAUAGUUAGUGGGGGAUAACCCGGGGAAACUCGGGCUAAUACCGCAUAAUCUCUUCAAAGCAAAGCGGGGGAUCUUCGGACCUCGUGCUAUGAGAUGAGCCUGCGUCGGAUUAGCUAGUUGGUAGGGUAAUGGCCUACCAAGGCGACGAUCCGUAGCUGGUCUGAGAGGACGAUCAGCCACACUGGGACUGAGACACGGCC